rnacentral:tRNA from 1 species
AAGGGUAUAGCUCAAGUGGUAGAGCACAUGCUUAGCAUGCACGAGGUCCUGGAUUCAAUCCCCAGUAUCUCCU